AAUAGAUACCCGGGUAGUCCACGCCGUAAACGAUGAGUGCUAAGUGUUAGGGGGUUUCCGCCCCUUAGUGCUGCAGCUAACGCAUUAAGCACUCCGCCUGGGGAGUACGGUCGCAAGACUGAAACUCAAAGGAAUUGACGGGGGCCCGCACAAGCGGUGGAGCAUGUGGUUUAAUUCGAAGCAACGCGAAGAACCUUACCAGGUCUUGACAUCCCAUUGACCACUAUGGAGACAUAGUUUUCCCUUCUGGGACAACGGUGACAGGUGGUGCAUGGUUGUCGUCAGCUCGUGUCGUGAGAUGUUGGGUUAAGUCCCGCAACGAGCGCAACCCUUGUUCUUAGUUGCCAUCAUUUAGUUGGGCACUCUAAGGAGACUGCCGGUGACAAACCGGAGGAAGUGGGGAUGACGUCAAAUCAUCAUGCCCCUUAUGACCUGGGCUACACACGUGCUACAAUGGACGGUACAAACGGUUGCCAACCCGCGAGGGGGAGCUAAUCCGAUAAAACCGUUCUCAGUUCGGAUUGUAGGCUGCAACUCGCCUACAUGAACG
rnacentral:rRNA from 1 species